ACUCCUACGGAAGGCAUCAGUGGGGAAUAUUGCACAAUGGGGGAAACCCUGAUGCAGCGACGCAGCGUGCGGGAUGACGGCCUUCGGGUUGUAAACCGCUUUCAGCAGGGAAGAAGCGCAAGUGACGGUACCUGCAGAAGAAGUACCGGCUAACUACGUGCCAGCAGCCGCGGUAAU
rnacentral:rRNA from 1 species